UCAUUCUAGAAAGAAUAAAUAGGAGCUUGCAAAAAAUUAGCAUCAACAAGCAUUAGAACCAAAUGUUAAGGGUAAAAAGGGGGAAAAAAAAAGCAGUAGUUCGUAAAACUUUUACCAAUGUGGAAGUAUCAAUCAACUGAAAUUCUUAAAGCAAAUCAUAUUAAAUCUUCAAUAUGGGAAAGUAUGCUUUUUUUGGUUAAAACAUGGGUAAUUACUUUAAAAUUGUUUCUAUCAUGAUGACCUUGUAAACUCUUAACUUUAAUCUAACAACACAAAUGUAGAUGUACAGAAUUAAGAAAGUAUCUUGGCCUGAAAAACCACUGAAGAAAAAGUUCAAUUUACUUAUGCAAUUAAAUUAUUUCAUAGCUAGGUUACCACACAAAGUAGAGGUGUGGACAGGAACACAAUUUACAAGGGGGAAAAAUUUUUGACCUAAUUAACAGCUAAACUAGCAAUUAAUUCUGUGCAAUAAAAUAUAAAAUACCUGAAUAACACUCAGUCCAGUUUCACAGUUUAUAAAGAACAAAUAGACUAGUAGGCAUCAUAGUGGCCGAAUUUUUCAUGGCAAGUUUGUGCAUCUCAUUG
rnacentral:misc_RNA from 1 species